ACGAACGCUGGCGGCGUGCCUAAUACAUGCAAGUCGAACGCUUCUUUUUCCACCGGAGCUUGCUCCACCGGAAAAAGAGGAGUGGCGAACGGGUGAGUAACACGUGGGUAACCUGCCCAUCAGAAGGGGAUAACACUUGGAAACAGGUGCUAAUACCGUAUAACAAUCGAAACCGCAUGGUUUUGAUUUGAAAGGCGCUUUCGGGUGUCGCUGAUGGAUGGACCCGCGGUGCAUUAGCUAGUUGGUGAGGUAACGGCUCACCAAGGCGACGAUGCAUAGCCGACCUGAGAGGGUGAUCGGCCACAUUGGGACUGAGACACGGCCCAAACUCCUACGGGAGGCAGCAGUAGGGAAUCUUCGGCAAUGGACGAAAGUCUGACCGAGCAACGCCGCGUGAGUGAAGAAGGUUUUCGGAUCGUAAAACUCUGUUGUUAGAGAAGAACAAGGAUGAGAGUAACUGUUCAUCCCUUGACGGUAUCUAACCAGAAAGCCACGGCUAACUACGUGCCAGCAGCCGCGGUAAUACGUAGGUGGCAAGCGUUGUCCGGAUUUAUUGGGCGUAAAGCGAGCGCAGGCGGUUUCUUAAGUCUGAUGUGAAAGCCCCCGGCUCAACCGGGGAGGGUCAUUGGAAACUGGGAGACUUGAGUGCAGAAGAGGAGAGUGGAAUUCCAUGUGUAGCGGUGAAAUGCGUAGAUAUAUGGAGGAACACCAGUGGCGAAGGCGGCUCUCUGGUCUGUAACUGACGCUGAGGCUCGAAAGCGUGGGGAGCAAACAGGAUUAGAUACCCUGGUAGUCCCAGCCGUAAACGAUGGACGCUAGGUGUGGGGGGACGAUCCCCCCGUGCCGCAGCCAACGCAUUAAGCGUCCCGCCUGGGGAGUACGGCCGCAAGGCUAAAACUCAAAGGAAUUGACGGGGGCCCGCACAAGCGGUGGAGCAUGUGGUUUAAUUCGAAGCAACGCGAAGAACCUUACCAGGUCUUGACAUCCUUUGACCACUCUAGAGAUAGAGCUUCCCCUUCGGGGGCAAAGUGACAGGUGGUGCAUGGUUGUCGUCAGCUCGUGUCGUGAGAUGUUGGGUUAAGUCCCGCAACGAGCGCAACCCUUAUUGUUAGUUGCCAUCAUUUAGUUGGGCACUCUAGCAAGACUGCCGGUGACAAACCGGAGGAAGGUGGGGAUGACGUCAAAUCAUCAUGCCCCUUAUGACCUGGGCUACACACGUGCUACAAUGGGAAGUACAACGAGUCGCAAAGUCGCGAGGCUAAGCUAAUCUCUUAAAGCUUCUCUCAGUUCGGAUUGUAGGCUGCAACUCGCCUACAUGAAGCCGGAAUCGCUAGUAAUCGCGGAUCAGCACGCCGCGGUGAAUACGUUCCCGGGCCUUGUACACACCGCCCGUCACACCACGAGAGUUUGUAACACCCGAAGUCGGUGAGGUAACCUUUUGGAGCCAGCCGCCUAAGGUGGGAUAGAUGAUUGGGGUG
rnacentral:rRNA from 1 species